rnacentral:rRNA from 1 species
UACGAAGGGGGCUAGCGUUGCUCGGAAUCACUGGGCGUAAAGGGUGCGUAGGCGGGUCUUUAAGUCAGGGGUGAAAUCCUGGAGCUCAACUCCCAGAACUGCCUUUGAUACUGAAGAUCUUGAGUUCGGGAGAGGUGAGUGGAACUGCGAGUGUAGAGGUGAAAUUCGUAGAUAUUCGCAAGAACACCAGUGGCGAAGGCGGCUCACUGGCCCGAUACUGGACG